AGGUAGGAAGAUCGCUUGAACUUAGGAGUUGGAGGUUGCAGUGAGCUGUGAUGAUGCCACAGCACUCUAGCCAGGGCAACAGAGUGAGACCUCGUCUC
rnacentral:miRNA from 1 species